rnacentral:rRNA from 1 species
GAUGAACGCUGGCGGCGUGCCUAAUACAUGCAAGUCGAGCGAACGGACGAGAAGCUUGCUUCUCUGAUGUUAGCGGCGGACGGGUGAGUAACACGUGGAUAACCUACCUAUAAGACUGGGAUAACUUCGGGAAACCGUAGCUAAUACCGGAUAAUAUUUUGAACCGCAUGGUUCAAAAGUGAAAGACGGUCUUGCUGUCACUUAUAGAUGGAUCCGCGCUGCAUUAGCUAGUUGGUAAGGUAACGGCUUACCAAGGCAACGAUGCAUAGCCGACCUGAGAGGGUGAUCGGCCACACUGGAACUGAGACACGGUCCAGACUCCUACGGGAGGCAGCAGUAGGGAAUCUUCCGCAAUGGGCGAAAGCCUGACGGAGCAACGCCGCGUGAGUGAUGAAGGUCUUCGGAUCGUAAAACUCUGUUAUUAGGGAAGAACAUAUGUGUAAGUAACUGUGCACAUCUUGACGGUACCUAAUCAGAAAGCCACGACUAACUACGU